UACGAAGGGGGCUAGCGUUGCUCGGAAUCAUUGGGCGUAAAGGGUGCGUAGGCGGCUUCCUAAGUUUGAUGUGAAAUCCUGGGGCUCAACCCUGGAACUGCAUUGAAUACUGGGAGGCUAGAGUACUGGAGAGGAAACUGGAAUUUACGGUGUAGCAGUGAAAUGCGUAGAGAUCGUAAGGAAGACCAGUGGCGAAGGCGAGUUUCUGGACAGUUACUGACGCUGAGGCACGAAGGCCAGGGGAGCAAACGGG
rnacentral:rRNA from 1 species